rnacentral:lncRNA from 13 species
GGCUGGUCUCAAACUCCUGGACUCGAGAAAUCCUCCUGCCUCAGCCUCCUAAAGUGCUGAGAUUACAGGCAUGAGCCACUGUGCCCAGCCUAUUUUUUUUAUUAUUGCUAAUUUCAGAAUACUGUUGACACAGCAUUUGCAAUCAUGUGUUGUUACUCAACUUUUCCUUUGAGUUGCUCUUUCUUCCUAGCUAGAUUCUGAGGUCCUCUGACAUAGAGGUCAUACCUUAACUUCUCUUUAUUCUGUGGUAGAGGUAAUGCUGUGUUUUCCUAUGCUGUUUCCUCCUCCUAGAAAUACAGGAAAACUACUUUUCCUGGACUCCUUAGCUAUUACAUUGGGUUUGAACUUGAAUUCCGACAAAGAAAAUGUAGGCAGAAAUCAUGUGGCUCUUAAAGCUCUCAUGCGAGCCUUCAAUCCUCUCUGCUCCUUUCACAGUGACCGGGAAGGUAUAGGCGAUGGUUUCAGAAGACGAAGGCAGCCAGGAUCCCUGAGUCACUGCAUGGAGGAGAGCCACGCAGGAGAAUCUCUGACCUGCACUGGACAACAAUGAACUUUCCAGAUGCUAGUUUCUUUGGCUUUAUCACAAACCCUCCCUGUGGAUUUCUAGCUCCUGCCAUACCUCAUCCGUUUGUUGACCCUUGUCCACACCAGGAUGUCUGCGGGGUGAUGUCCUGCCUGGAGCACCAUAGGCUGCAGCUGCUCUCACUGGGAAACGUAUGUGAGUACCAGUCUGAAAAAGCCCCUCCCUGCCAGGUGAUCCUGACCGAUCCUUCCAGAGCCAGUGGAUUAGCAACAUCAUAGCUGUGGGAGCUGAUCAAGUUCCCUAACCUCUUUGAACCUCCAUUUCCAAAACUCUGACUUCAUAGGUGUUUUUAGGAAAUUAAGGGAGGUAGUGCCUACUACACAGUAAAUGUUAGUUCUUUUCUCCAUCUAAUCAUCACAGAAAAUAGUAAUGAGGUGUUUUUUUGUUUGUUUGUUUGUUUGUUUGUUUGUUUAGAUGGAGUUUUGCUCUUGUUGCCCAGGCUGGAGUGCAAUGGUGUGAUCUCGGCUUACUGCAAACUCUACCUCCCAGGUUCAAGCAAUUUUUCUGCCUCAGCCUCCCAAGUAGCUGGGAUUACAAGCAUGCACCACCAUGCCUGGCUAAUUUUGUGUUUUUAGUAGAGACGGGGUUUCACCAGGUUGGUCAGGCUGGUCUCGAACUCCUGACCUCAGUUGAUCCACCCACCUCAGCCCCCCAAAGUGCUGGGAAUACAGAGUGAGCCACUGUGCCUGGUGAGGUUUUAAAUCAAAAAGCCUUUCUGGCAAAGUCAAGAUCUCCCACCCUCACACAGGCCCAGCUUCUAACAUCUGCAGUCUUUUUUGAGAAGGUCUUGUGUGCUGGCAAAAUAUUUUAGCUACUGCAUAGGACACCGUGUGGCACAGUACUUUGAAUUCCCAGAGAGAAAGGCUCAGAGGUCUUGUUGGAGGGUAUGCAGGAAAAGGAAACCUACUCCCAGUGCAGAAGGCACUCUCAGAGCGUGCUAUGGUAAUUAUGCAGGCUGGGAGGAGGCGGUCCAUGAGUGGGAGAAGAAGACACGGAGAGGAGAGGAAGGCCGGAAGGAGAGAAUCCCAGGCUCAUUUAACUUGGAUGCCAGCUGGGGGUUUAGCCGUCCUCUGGCUUGCUGUGUGAGCUUCAGCAAGCCAGUUCACUUCUCUGCUUUGGGCCAUAUCUGAAGAGGCCUUUGCCCAGCUGAGACACUCAAGGAUGCCACGCAUUUUUCUGAGUCACUGGGAAACAAGUUAACUCUCCAGUCGCAUACUUUUCAUUUGCAUUAUUGUAACCUGGGCUGGUGUCCAAUUCUUCUUCAUAAACACUGAGAAUUAAGGCCAUUUCCAUAACUGAGUCAAGCACACCGAGGGUGUUACAGAAUCACUUUUCUCGCCUAGCAGUUGUGGGCAGCAGCAGAGACUUGCCCUCUAGAUGUUGGAACAGCUGAGCUUUCUUGGGAAGAUUCCAGAGAGAGAGUUAUUAACCCAGUGAGUAACACCGUAUGUACCAUUCUGAUCCUCUGGGCUACAAUAAUGCAAUCUUCUAUUGCUUUUCUUUCUUUUAAGAAAAGCCAUCAAACAAGGGACUAAUUCAAAUUUUUAACCACAAUAUAAACAGACAUUCACACAAGAGCAAUUAUAAAUAGCAUGUGUGCCAAAAAAAAAACAGAAACUGCCUGCUGCUGGCAUCCAAAGAUAUGUUGCACAAGGCAAAUUUAGGACUCUAUUUUAAAAUAUUUUCAAAAAUGCCGUAAAGCAACAAUAUUCAAUGUACCUGAUGUUGAAGCAAAAUUGAUUUCCUGAUACAAUAUUGGUGGCAUUGGAAAUUAGUAAUAGUUCCUCUGGGAAGUAAUAUGGAAACACACAGGAAGAACUAUAUCCAUGGUUAUUCGGAAGUAAUGCAAUAAAAAUCUGCAUAAAGAAGCCA